UCUUCCCUGCAGAUCAAAGAAAAAUUCAAAAACCCUACACGCUCUCCCACCCUUCUUUCCCUUUCCUCUGCCACUUCAUCUUCGUUCCCUCUGUAUCAUCUCUUCUCCAUCUUUUCUUUCCCAUUUUGAGCUAGGGUUCAAAAAAACCCAAAAACAGCCCUUCUUUAUCUCAGUUUCUCUCUGAAAUACAUACCCCAUCUUUGCUUACUGCAAUUGUUAAAGUUUUUGUUUCAAAAUUCAAAUGGAUUUCAAACACCGCCUCUAAAUUCCCCCUUCAUUCAAAUGCCAAAAACCCUAAUCAGUUUCAAAAUACUGACAACCCUCUUUCUCGCUCUCGAAUGGCUUCUGGUUGUCAGUAUUGUUAGUGUCUAGGGUUAGCGAAUCGACUUUCCGGCAAAGUUGGCUAGGGUUCAGGCCGAAUUCCGCUCACACAGAUUUGAAGGCACAUAGACAACUCAAUUUGUCUACUUGAUUUUGAAGGUAGUUUUAAUCUAUUUGGAUGUUAUUUGAUAACUCACUAAUUCAAUUAUCGUAUAUUUCAUUAGAGGUUUGUUCUAUACUUGCAUAAUCUAGAUAAAUGUAUUUGUUUCCCCAGGUUCUUGGUUUUGGGGAUUCUGUAGAAGAAGUUUAUGUUGCAUACAAACAACACAAAGUUGAAAUUAUAGUACCCGGUUAUUUUUUUCUAUUUAUUAUAUGUUGCAAUGCUUACUUUAACUGCUGAAAAGAUUAACCAGGACACUGUUAAAGGUGGAAAGUGCACCAGUGGUGCUAAGAUGACUGAAGAAGAAGUAGCAUUAGCCGAGCUUCAAGGAUGUUUGCAGAAGCAUGUACUAGAAUAAACGAUGUCUUGAAACGCUUUUAAGUUCUUUCGUCGCUAUCCUCCGAUCAACUUGGUUAACGAUUUCGACUCGUGUGAGAUUAAUCUACACGUUUUAAGGCUUUGAGAUUAAUCAUUCAUAUACUCGGAUAUGCUGCUUUGUAACAAAACUCAAAAGAACCCCGAAUUGGAUUUUAAUCUUUUUCUACAAAUUAGUGGUGACGACCGGCCAUUUCCAUCUCAAUUCGUUUGAUGAAGGAGAAGAAGUUAACCCCUUUGCUGUAAGUUUUUUGUUUUUUUUUUUCGAAAUAACUUUGCUUGGUUAUUAUGUUAGCAAAUGUCUUGCUGCCAUUGUUGUUAGUACCCUCUUGUGCACCUUUUUUUUCCUUUUUCUUGCUUCAUUAAAAAUUCAAUUGAUUAUUUAAGAUUUAAUUUUUUGUGUAGAACUACGUUACCAUAUUUUGACUACUUUGUGUAUUAAAGCCUAUCAUGGCUGCACUUAUAAUUAUAUAAACUACUCAUGAGAUAUUAUAUAUGUAAACAUAUAUUUCUUUUUCUAAUUUUGUGCGCUUGGGGACACGAAAGCAUGACAAGACUUUUACAAUAGUUGUAACACGACACUUAUUUGAGCACGGAGGCAAAGGCGUGAAUUUAAGUUACUUAUAUUGAGGUAAUUCUUCAAACCUUUGGCAUUUAUUAUUUUUAUUCUUUUUGUUUGCCAAUUAUUAUUUGUUUUUUUAUGGAGGAGCUGUUCUACUUAAUAUUAACACUUAUGCAUUUUAAUUUUAUACUAAGGAUACCCCUAAAAUAAUACAAGGAUACCCCUAACCAACCAAAACUUGUAGAAUAAAGGAGCCCGAUUGAAACAGUGGCCCAAUUGCCCAAAUUAUUAAUAAUAUGAUUGAAAUUGUGGCCUAAUUAGUUACUUAGAAUGUGUAAGAUCCUCCUUUUUAUUUGCUUUUUAAUCUAUAAUCUUUAUAUGAACUCUAAUCGAUUAUUCUUGAAACCUUAACGUCGAUUUAACGAGGGUUUUGAAACACAGCGGCAAUAACACCUGUUGUGUCUAGGGUUUUGAAACACAGCGGCGGCUUUGAAGGUCGGCCGCUGAUGACGUUGAUGAUGGUGGAUUUGUGGUAACGGUGAAGGUUUACAGCUAAUUCGAGGUAAUUAUAUGACGAGCAGUGGAUAUUCAGAGCGAUUGAGGAACGUUUUUGGUUUGAGAUUGGAGAACAGAUGCUUUAAUUAAAUGAUGUGUUGAAAUUUGGAAUCUCCAUCAACAUUCAUCACAAUCUUUGAAGGUAAUCACAUGGUUUCUUAGUUAUUUAGGGGGUGUUUGGGAUUGCGUUUUCAACCUGAUUAUUUGAUUAUUGUGUUUUGAAAUCGCAAAAAAUCUAUUUUGAGUGUUUGGUAAAAAAUUAAUAAAAAGUGAUUUUUUACGUUUUGUAGAGUUCAAAACGUGAUAAUCCAUAAGUAGGUCACCUCUUGCUGCAGGAAAACGUGAUAAUCCAAAAACUGAUUUUUUACGUUUCCAAUUAUUUAUUUUUUUAAAAUAUAUAUACUUGCCAAACACUCAAAUAGUUGAUUAUCUGAUUAUUGUGAUAUCAAACAACAUAAUCAAAUCCAAACAAUGUUGAUUAUCUGAUUAUUGUGAUAUCAAACAACAUAAUCAAAUCCAAACACUAUCUUUCUGCAGCACGUUUUGUUACAGCUAAUUAUCUGAUUCUGAUUAUUCAAAACGCAUAAUCUAUUUUCAAAACUCAACCCCAAACACCCCCUUAGUUGCUUAUUCUAGACCACCGUUUUGAUUGUGAAUCCCAAUGAUACUAAAGAAAUACCAUUUUAAUUUCCAUAUUAGUCAAGCCGUUUAUUAUUUUCUAAUCCUUUUUAGUAUUACUCUUAUUCAACACCCUUAUGAAUGUUUAACUGAUUCUGUAACUAAUGAAAAACAAAUGUGAUAUAGACCUGUGAUUGUUAUAUAUAUGAUGAUUUAUGAUUGUCUGUGAAGGUUCUGGUUAGUGAUUUAGGGUUUGGAAGAUCUAUGAGUAACCAUAAAUUUCAGAAUCUGGUUCAGAAAUUAAAAGAGCAUACCAUAAAGCUGCACUUAGACAUCAUCCGGUCAAAGUUUUUUUUUUUUUUUUUUUUUUUAUAAGAGAUAUAAUGAGAAUCAUUAGAUGAUUAGCUAAUUUAUCCUGUGUUUUUUUUGACUUUGAUGCGCCUCUUAUGUAUCAACAUCUUCAUUUAAUAUAG
rnacentral:lncRNA from 1 species